UUGGAGGAUUUGAAGACUUCAACUUGCUUACUUGGAGGAUUUGAAGACCUCGACUUUCAUACUUGAAAAAUUUGAAGACUUCAACU
rnacentral:pre_miRNA from 1 species